rnacentral:misc_RNA from 1 species
GCGGGAAGUGCAUGUGGACGAUCCCUCGCCGCAGUUGUUGUUCCGAGGUGCGUGCCGCGAUCUUGGAGCAGACUCGCGGCCGCCGCAGGUGCCAAUGAACGGGUUGUGUUCGUGAUGCCCAGCGGCCGUGAGUAGAUGAUGGAGAGGAGGACAGAGCAGAAGCCGUGCCUCUCCUCAUCUGUCUCUGGCCUUUUCAGUUGUUUUCUCGUGUACGGGUGAACCAAAUCGAGCGACAACGCCAUCGCUCUCCAAAGAAUACCUUCCACCACGCGAGGCCUGUUCUUACACCGAGCAUCCGCACUGUGCUGCAUGGAAUCGCUGAGUGCGUCGAUCCCUUUAUCCCCUCGGAUACGUGCCAUCCACAGCAUCCACGGGAGAAACAGCGCGGCUACGUGACGGCGCUACGCCAUAACAUUCUGACCGCUAACUGAAGCCAUGUCGAUCAGAUCCAAAAGCAAUGGUUGCGCACCUUCAGAGACCUCUGGGACAACGAAGGCUGAGUUGGGGAGAACUUCGCGAAAUGAGCGCUCCACUAUGCCAUGGUAUGGGCCGGACAGCCGACACAGCUGGAUUACGGCCGCGGCUUGCAGUUUGUCCACUUUCUUCGGCGUUGCUGCCCGUCGGUCAGCUGGCUUUCUAUAUGUGGCCAUUCUACAGACGUUUCACGCCACACGAAGCGAGGCCGCGUGGGCCGUCAUCAUCAUGACCGGCAUCAUAUCGCUAGCAGGGCUCAUAUCUGGUCCCAUCGCGCACAAGUACACCGCCCGGCCUGUGGCCAUCACAGGAGGCGUGAUCGCAGCGUUGGGCCUCAUGCUGUGCUUCCUUGCAACACGCAUUGAGCAUCUCAUCAUGAGCCUGGGAAUAUUGCACGCAAUUGGGAGCGGCUUGGUGUUCGUGGUGAUUCCGACGGUGAUCAACGAGCACUUCGUCCGCUACAGGGGUAUCGCCAUGGGCAUCAACUUUGCCGGCUCCACCAUGGCCACGUUCGUCUUCCCCCAGACGUUGGAGGUGCUCACCGAUGCGUACGGCUUCCGAGGUGCCAUGCUGCUGUUCGGCGCCAUCAGCCUCAACUCUGUCGCAUUCAGCCUCUUCCUGAGGCAACCGGAGUGGCUGAAGAGGCGCCAGGAGAUACAAACGAAAGCAGCCGCCGCAGCCACCGAGAUAUCUGCGGAUGCGAACACCACUUGCAAGGCUCAAAAUGGUUCAUUAGAACCUGCUAAUGGAAGCCUACCAAAGAUGAAUACUCGCAAGGCACCGGUCCCCGGAUCGUUCCGGCAUGCCCUGACGGUCUUCUCUUGCCCCAUGUUCUACCUGGUCGCCUACUCGUACAUCGCCUUCAUCUUCGCCUUUGAAUGCUACAUUUCACUCCUGAUUGACUUCGCCAUUGACAAAGGCGUCAGCUUUUCGCGGGCCGUGACAAUGAUCUCGUUGAGCUCGAUUGCAGACUUGGUGGGCCGCCUCACGCUUCCCUUGGCUGCCGAUAGGGGCUACAUAAGUCGGCAGACGCUGGUGACUGUCACCUUCCUGUGCCUUGGAUCGCUGUUCGUGCUUGUUCCAUUGGCAUCGAGCUACGCCGCUCUCUUCACAUUCGCCACGGCGAUCGCCUUCUGCAUCGGCAUCGUGAUGUGCCUGGUCUCCGUACUACUGGCGGAGUACGUGGGCGUCGACCGUGUAUCCAUGGCCUACGGCAUGGUCUCAGGAUUCUCUGGUGUUACGUCGCUCUUUAAGCCUCUAAUAAUAGGCUACUUCAGGGACGUCAUCGGGGCAUACGACAAGCUAUUCAUCAUAUGCGGAUCUGGAGUCCUUCUGGGUGGAUUCAUGUGGAUCGCUGUGCGUCUGCGGGACAUUACCAAACGGACCAAGCGCUGGGAUGUAAAGACUAUCGAAGCAAGCAACAGUGUACAAGUCGCGGCUGUUCUUCCGAAGUACAGCUACAGUGCAGCAGAGCUACCACCUGCAUAUGCUUUUUGACCAGCGUUACCUUGUCAAGGCGUGUGACUCUAAGCUUGGAAACACAGUGCACUAUGUGCACUUUGUACUAUUUCAUCUGAAGUGACUGUUUUGCUUUGUUAAAAGGCCACUGUGUCGACUCGAAGAAAAACAUCAGUGUGUACCAUCAAGCUCAACUAACAUCGUUUUCAUUGUAAUUUAUGUAUAUAAUACAGGCAUUCCAUCAUCAAACAACUCUUGGAGUGUGUACCUACUGAUACACAGGUAUGUCGUAGAGUUAGGUGAGCUGCACGUGCGUAAUGACAGAGCUCCGCUUCAUCUAGUCUUCAAUAGAUGCAAGAAAUACAUCGAUUCAGUCAAUCAUGACAACAUGGUACGUGUUAUAAUAAAGAAGAAGAAAACGUACAAGGUAUAUUUCU